AUGGAAAGCUGCAAAUGUCCCUCCAAAAGUUGUUUAAUGAUAUGCUUUCUAUCUUUUGCAACAAUAAUACUGUUAGUCUGUGCGGUGGUCUACGUCCUACGCGCCAACUCAGAAGGCUGUGUAAAGGGCUUGGAACUCCAGUACCAGUAUCGGAACGAGACCCGACUACUCCAGGAGCAGCUGAGGCAAAGCCAGGAAAACUCCCUGGAGCUGGAGGCCCGAUGGCAGAGUUGCAGCAUUGACUUGGGAAACCUGAGUGAGACUAUGAAAGAAGUGACAUCCCAGAGAAACUACCUGAAAGAAGAGAACCUGGAUUUGACUGAUAAACUUAAGAAGACCGAAGCAGCCCUGCAGAGGGAGAGAUUAAAAAAUAAAACAGAAGAGAACAGUUCUGCAUACACUGGCCCUCAGACCUACUCUUCACUCCUGGGUCUCUGUUUGGUCAUUGCCUUGCUUCCCUGAGCAGACUGAGCAAGGCAUUUCCUGCACUCUUGGAGACUCCUAAACACUGGAUCCUUGUGGAUAAUAA
rnacentral:lncRNA from 1 species